rnacentral:rRNA from 1 species
GGAUGAACGCUGGCGGCGUGCCUAAUACAUGCAAGUCGAGCGAACGGACGAGAAGCUUGCUUUUCUGAUGUUAGCGGCGGACGGGUGAGUAACACGUGGAUAACCUACCUAUAAGACUGGGAUAACUUCGGGAAACCGGAGCUAAUACCGGAUAAUAUUUUGAACCGCAUGGUUCAAAAGUGAAAGACGGUCUUGCUGUCGCUUAUAGAUGGAUCCGCGCUGCAUUAGCUAGUUGGUAAGGUAACGGCUUACCAAGGCAACGAUGCAUAGCCGACCUGAGAGGGUGAUCGGCCACACUGGAACUGAGACACGGUCCAGACUCCUACGGGAGGCAGCAGUAGGGAAUCUUCCGCAAUGGGCGAAAGCCUGACGGAGCAACGCCGCGUGAGUGAUGAAGGUCUUCGGAUCGUAAAACUCUGUUAUUAGGGAAGAACAUAAGUGUAAGUAACUGUGCACAUCUUGACGGUACCUAAUCAGAAAGCCACGGCUAACUACGUG